GGCGUCCGAGCCAAUCAGCGAUCGGCUUUCCAGAACUUACUUGUUUAAAAUGAGAGGACAUCUUAACGAGCCGGUCAGUGGCUCCGACAAACAAGAAACACAACUAAAAUGUUAUCGGGGAUGCCUCUCUGCUUCUGGCGUUGUUGUCCACGUUGCAGUACGUGACAAUAAAUGCGGAUGAAGCGACUCGUCGAUGAUGGAUGUAAACCCACCCCACAGACCCUGGCAUCUGUAAGUUGGAUGAGAUGUUGAUUCUCAAGCUCCUGUCCUCCUUCGUACUCUUGGCCAACUGAAUCAGAGGUCAACUGCAUCCUUCAAGUCUGAAGAUGGGAGACUUCAAGGAUGUGGUUAAGCAGACUGGUCCAGUUAUUGUGAAUACAAUGAAUGGACUGUAUCCUGCCCGCAAACACUUCCCCUUCAUAAUGGGUGGAAGAACACUGAGCUGAGAGCUGGCAGCCUCAUGGCCAGAAAACUAUUGCAGUGGCAGCAGAAGUUGGGCCUGGACCUCCACCUGCUGCAUGCAUGGCCUGUCCUUGAUCCACGAGCUGCACAACCUCAAUUGACCUUACUGGGAAAAGGCAGUUUUGAUUGAGAUUUUGACUCACUCAUGUCCAUAAGCAAGACCAUCGCCUACACUGGGAAGAGAUCUCAAGGCUCUAGCUGUGUUGUGGUUUUAUUGCUAGUGGGCAGCAUAGGGAGAAUUCCAGUUUUGCUGCAUUUUAUCCUCAAACAAAUGUUAGAUUCAUUGUCAUCACAUUAGAAAACAUUGUCCACGCACACUGUAUUAAAUAUGCUCUAACUCUGUCAUGUAUAUUCACAUGGCAUCCAACUGUUCAGUGAUCCUGUGAGUUAGUGCAAUCAUGUACAUCGCAGUAAUGGCUUUUACUGAGUAAUAGCUUGACUGUGUGGAUUUCUCUGCAGGGAUUACAGUUUCUGUGAUUGCCUUGCAUCAUCAGAGGCCACAGCUCAUCUUAAAUAUCUGCAUGUUCUCUGUGUUGUACUAUUUCAUUCCAGCCAGCGGCGGGUUUGAUGUCAAUGUUGUGGCCUGGGCAGUAUGUCAUUAAAUGUAUGUCAUGGUAGUGUUUAUGUAAUUAAUAAUGAAAGCAAUGAAACGCUGUAAAAAGCUCAGGCUGUGCUGAAUGUUGGAGCCAAGAUAUUUUUGGGGGUUAUUGUGAUUGUAUGAAUGUUUUGACUAUAGAGGAAAAUUGUUUUUAGAAAUACUGAGCGAUUAAAUAACACUUGAACCAACCAUGUCUUGCAUGUAGCUACAUCAGGCUGCCUCUCAAAUAUAAUCUUACAAAUGAUGCAGUACUUAAGUAUAGUCCUGCUGGUUGCCUACAACUUGAUAUAG